GGAAGGAUCAUUCACAAUGAGUGUUUUAUGGCACUCUUUAAAAAUCCAUAUCCACCUUGUGUGCAAUGUUUGUUGGGAGAGAGGCAACUCUUUCCCUUCACAAAUAUCAACCUAUAUCUUUAACAACAUUCGUCUGAUAACAUAUUAUGAAUAUACUUAAUUCAAAAUAUAACUUUCAACAACGGAUCUCUUGGCUCUCGCAUCGAUGAAGAACGCAGCGAAAUGCGAUACGUAAUGUGAAUUGCAGAAUUCAGUGAAUCAUCGAAUCUUUGAACGCAUAUUGCGCUCUUUGGUAUUCCGAAGAGCAUGCUUGUUUGAGUAUCAGUAAACACCUCAACCUCCUCUUGUUUUUUCAAAAGGAGGGUGGACUUGAGCUAUCCCAACAACCUUCACCGGUAGGCGGGCGGCUUGAAAUGCAGGUGCAGCUGGACUUUUAUCUGAGCUAAAAGCAUAUCUAUUUAGUCCUCGUCAAACAGGAUUAUUACUAUUGCUGCAGCUAACAUAAAGGAUAAUUGUCCUCAUUGCUGACUGAUGCAGGAUUUUACGACACUUUAUGUGUUGUUCAACUCGAUCUCAAAUCAAGUAAGACUACCCGCUGAACUUAAGCAUAUCAAUAAGCGGAGGAAAAGAAACUAACAAGGAUUCCCCUAGUAACGGCGAGUGAAGCGGGAUGAGCUCAAAUUUGAAAUCUGGCUGGUUUACUAGUCCGAGUUGUAAUUUAAAGAAGCGUUUUCGGUGGCAGCCUGGG
rnacentral:rRNA from 1 species